rnacentral:misc_RNA from 1 species
AACGAAAACUGUUUUUCAUCAGCGGUUACUGAACAAACUGUAAAAUUGUCAGUGUCAACAGAGAGGGAACGGGACUUUGCCACGAUGGGGGCAGGAAGGUUCGAAUCCUUACAAGGUCCGUUUCGAUGCACCUGGAGAUGCGAAUCACCAGGGAAGGGCUGAGAGUCAAGCCAAUGACUCGAAGAAGCCGUGUAAAGGUUGCACUCUGGACGUUAAAUGGGUUUAACGGAGCAC